rnacentral:rRNA from 1 species
UACGUAGGGUGCAAGCGUUAAUCGGAAUUACUGGGCGUAAAGCGUGCGCAGGCGGUUUUGUAAGACAGAUGUGAAAUCCCCGGGCUUAACCUGGGACCUGCAUUUGUGACUGCAAAGCUAGAGUACGGUAGAGGGGGAUGGAAUUCCGCGUGUAGCAGUGAAAUGCGUAGAUAUGCGGAGGAACACCGAUGGCGAAGGCAAUCCCCUGGACCUGUACUGACGCUCAUGCACGAAAGCGUGGGGAGCAAACAGG